rnacentral:rRNA from 1 species
GAUGACCUCUAGCUACAGGCUUAACACAAGCAAGUCGAGGGGAAACGACAUCGAAAGCUUGCUUUUGAUGGGCGUCGACCGGCGCACGGGUGAGUAACGCGUAUCCAACCUGCCCACCACUUGGGGAUAACCUUGCGAAAGUAAGACUAAUACCCAAUGACGUCUCUAGAAGACAUCUGAAAGAGAUUAAAGAUUUAUCGGUGAUGGAUGGGGAUGCGUCUGAUUAGCUUGUUGGCGGGGUAACGGCCCACCAAGGCAACGAUCAGUAGGGGUUCUGAGAGGAAGGUCCCCCACAUUGGAACUGAGACACGGUCCAAACUCCUACGGGAGGCAGCAGUGAGGAAUAUUGGUCAAUGGACGAGAGUCUGAACCAGCCAAGUAGCGUGCAGGAAGACGGCCCUAUGGGUUGUAAACUGCUUUUAUAAGGGAAUAAAGUGAGUCUCGUGAGACUUUUUGCAUGUACCUUAUGAAUAAGGACCGGCUAAUUCCGUGCCAGCAGCCGCGGUAAUACGGAAGGUCCGGGCGUUAUCCGGAUUUAUUGGGUUUAAAGGGAGCGUAGGCCGGAGAUUAAGCGUGUUGUGAAAUGUAGAUGCUCAACAUCUGAACUGCAGCGCGAACUGGUUUCCUUGAGUACGCACAAAGUGGGCGGAAUUCGUGGUGUAGCGGUGAAAUGCUUAGAUAACACGAAGAACUCCGAUUGCGAAGGCAGCUCACUGGAGCGCAACUGACGCUGAAGCUCGAAAGUGCGGGUAUCGAACAGGAUUAGAUACCCUGGUAGUCCGCACGGUAAACGAUAGAUGCCCGCUGUUGUCUGAAUAGGUCAGCGGCCAAGCGAAAGCAUAA